GUGGGAUCCGUACGUCAUACAAAAGAUACCACUGUACGACAGCGGCACGGCCGACAGUAGCACACCCUGGAUACAAACAGCCACUGGAAUUGCCGUGACCACCAUAUGUGUUCUCGUUGGAGUCCUUAGUAUCGCUUUUGCAACCGUAAUGAUCGUGAAGUACUGCAGAGAUAGAAGUAAGAGCAAAACAGCAGACGCAGCAGCCAAUUCUACCAGUAAUAAACCGAGAGCUGAGGUCGUGGAGUCCGAACAAGGAGCCACCACCAUAUUCACGCCAGGGGCGGAGGGCUGGACUUCACGCAGUGACAGCA